rnacentral:rRNA from 1 species
UACGAAGGGUGCAAGCGUUAAUCGGAAUUACUGGGCGUAAAGGGUGCGUAGGCGGUUCGUUAAGUCUGUUGUGAAAUCCCCGGGCUCAACCUGGGAAUGGCAAUGGAUACUGGCGGGCUAGAGUGUGUCAGAGGAUGGUGGAAUUCCCGGUGUAGCGGUGAAAUGCGUAGAGAUCGGGAGGAACAUCAGUGGCGAAAGCGAUCAUCUGGGGUUGUUCUGACACUGAGGAGCGAAAGCUAGGGGAGCAAACGGG